AUGAGCGUAUAUAACUUGGGUCGUGUUAUAAAUGCUCUGGCUAAACCUAUUGAUGGGAGAGGCGAAAUUGUAGCUUCCGAAUCUCGCUUAAUUGAAUCUCCUGCUCCAAGUAGAAUUUCCAGGCGUUCCAUAUACGAACCUCUUCAAACAGGGCUUAUUGUUAUCGAUUCGAUGAUCCCUAUAGGGUGCGGUCAUCGAGAGUUCAUUAUUGGGGACAGACAGACUGGCAAAAUAGCAGUAGCCACAGAUACAAUUCUCAAGAAAAAAGGGCAAGGUGUAAUAUGUGUUUAUGUAGCUAUCGGUCAAAGAGCAUCCUCCGUAGCUCAAGUAGUAACUACUUUCCAUGAGGAGGGGGCCAUGGAAUACACUAUUGUAGUAGCUGAAAUGGCGGAUUCACCUGCUACAUUACAAUACCUCGCUCCUUAUACGGGAGCAGCCCUGGCUGAGUAUUUUAUGUACCGCGAACGGCAUACUUUAAUAAUUUAUGAUGAUCUCUCCAAACAUGCACAAGCUUAUCGCCAAAUGUCCCUUCUAUUAAGUCCCGGCCGUGAGGUUUAUCCAGGGGAUGUUUUUUAUUUGCAUUCACGCCUUUUAGAAAGAUCCGCGAAAUGCAAUUCUCUUUUAGGAGAAGGAAGUAUGACCGCUUUACCAAUAGUUGAGACUCAAUCUGGAGACGUUUCCGCCUAUAUUCCUACUAAUGUAAUCUCCAUUACAGAUGGACAAAUAUUCUUAUCUGCGGAUCUAUUCCAUGCCGGAAUUCGACCCGCUAUUAAUGUGGGUAUUUCAGUUUCCAGAGUAGGAUCCAUGGCUCAAAUUAAAGCCAUGAGACAAGUAGACGGCAAAUCCAAAUUGGAACUAGCUCAAUUCGCAGAGUGA
rnacentral:rRNA from 1 species